GCGCAACAGGCGCGAAUCUUCGGCAAUGGGCGAAAGCCUGACCGAGCGACGCCGCGUGCGGGAAGAAGGCCUUCGGGUUGUAAACCGCUUUUCUCAGGGAACAAUCCCGCUUUAGCGGGAUGAGGGUACCUGAGGAAUAAGGGGGGCUAAUCACGGUGCCAGCGAAGCAGCGGUAAUACGUGACCCCCGAGCGGUUAUCCGGGAUUUACUGGGCGUAAAGAGCCUUAAGGCGGAGGAGAAAGUCUUUCGUUAAAAUUCUC
rnacentral:rRNA from 1 species